rnacentral:lncRNA from 1 species
AUGAGGAAGCCGAGAAAACCAGACAGUGGCUCAGAUGUUGGGCUCGGGCAGCGAAGGCAUUCGUGGACUGCUAAGAUGAUAAACGUGCAGAGUGUUCGGUAUUCAGGCAGAGCCAAAGAGGAUCUUGCAUUCAGAGUGGACCACAAGCUGAGACAAAGAAGCAAGGGCCUGGGAGGCAGAAGCAUCCUGGGAGAGAAGGACCCUGAAGUAAUCUGCCAGAGGUCAUUCCUCCAAGAGUUGGCAUUUCAUUCUAGAGAGGCCCCUGGGGGUCUCUGGCCCAAGGUCUCAGAAGAAGGGGGGCCCGUGGAUGCUUUGAGAAGGGACACGAAACCACUGGGGGGCCAUCUCCAUCAGCUUACAGAAGACAAGCUCCGAAUAUGGGGCCGGGAUGUCCCCACUGUCCCCACGUCAAACGAGGACGGAUGGAGGAUGUGAGUGUGGACGGAACGGCAGGACAGCCUCGAAGGGUGAGUGGUGGCCUGGACCUCACUUCCCAACCCUUUCGGCUCUUCUUCCGAGCCCCUCCCUCAGCAUCUCUCAGAACAGGAGUCCACCUAAGGCAAGGCGGGCCAAACCCACCUGCGCUGUUCCAGCGGGCCCUUCCCGCCCGCGCCGACCUCGGAUCCUCUCGCAUGGGGUCCCAUCUGUGCCAGUGACUGUCUCCUGCUCAUCACUCAUCCCAUCUUCCGUCCAAUCCGGCCACCCACUCUCAUCCACCUAUCCACACAGCAUCCUUCCAACUGCAUGGCCCACCCAUCUCUUCAGCCCUCCAUUCAUGUGCCACCCGUGCACUGAAGCACCCACCUAGCCUGCCCAUCCUCGCCCACACCAUCCUCUCUGCUCCUCGGGUCCAACCCCUCCCACCCUUCCAUCCAACGUCGCACUCAUCUCUCUAGGCGUCUGUCCAUCUACCCAUCCUCCGGCGCGCUCCUGUCUACACCCGCUUACCUCAUUCAUCCUUCCACCCAUCCCACCCUCUCGUGCACCUUUGUGCAUUGUCUGUGCACAACCCCAUGUGACUUCCUUCCCUCCAUCCCUCUGCCCUCGGUCUGUCCACGCGUCCAUCUGUCCACCCAUCCAUCAAUUAUCCAGCCAGCUAGCCGGCAGCCACUCCUCGGCUCCUGGAGAGGCAGAGAGCUGAGACCCAACUCUCGGCUUUGCUGCUGCAUGGGGCAGGCGCUGGGCUUUCCUCGGUGUGCGCGCGUGUGUGCAUUUAAUCCGUACCCCCCACCCCGUUAUCUCUCUCCCCUCCCCCACACCCCGCCCCCCGCUCGCGCUCCCCUCUAAUGUGUGAUCUGGAAGCUCUAUAAAGCCUGAUGUAAUCCGUAAUGCAGUCUCUGGCUCCCGAUUCGGGAUCCAGUUUCAGAGAGCGAGAGAUUGGGGAGCGCCGGCAGCCCGGUGGGGGGAAGCAGCUCGCCUCUCUCCUCCUCCUUCUCCUCGUCCUCGGCCUCCUCCUCCUCCUCCCCGCGCCGCCCCGCCCCCGGCUCGGCUCGGCUCGCC